rnacentral:lncRNA from 1 species
CGGAAGUCACAAACUGCAGAGGGGGCUCAUGGGGUCCUGCGUGUCCACGCAGAGAGCCCGUGGCCCUUCACCCUUCCUUACUGUGGUGUUGGCCUUGGGGACCCACCUGGAGGGACCAGCUGCCCUCAACUAGGUGUCGCCUGUGGGAGACCAGAGGGCGAAUUGGCGUUUGUUCCCCACACUCCCUUCCUAAAGGGCCACCCGGGGGGCUGUGUCCUGUCCUGCCCAGCUGCCCCUCCCAGUGACCUCCUGUGCCACCGGAAGCUCCCUAUUCUCGGCCUCCAAACUUCCACUUGAAGUCUGGGGACAUGAGUCUCGGGCCACAAUAGAAACCAGGACCAGGGCAUGAGGUCACAGUCAGGCCAGCCCGGUGGUGUUGACAGACACAGUCAGUCGGGGAGGGUCACCGUGCCCCAGAACCCUGGGAGGUGGGUUCAGAUGUGAGAACGGCCAGGGCCAGGUGGGCAGGUACUGCUGCUGCCGUCCCAGAAAGCGGCCAGAGGCCCAGUGAAGUGGCCACUUGGCUAGAGCGGCCCUGCUGGUGCCCACCACCCCGGGGCGCUGUCCUGGGUUCGGCUGCAGGCCACGCGGCUCCUCUGACUCUCUGGUAUCCCCCGUCUCAUUUCUGUCUCUGACCAGUAACAAUUCCCAGGGAACCGGCUUCCAGCCCUAGGAGGGGAGAGGGAGGUGACCCAGACACAGGGAGGGGACAGCAGAUUCCCAUGACCUCCUUUUCUCCCGUGUGAGUACUGCCCCCGGGACCCACCUGGACGGGGUGGCCUUCUUCCCACAGCACUCCCCAACGGACACCGCACCCAUCUCCCGCCAGAUGGCCACGGAGACAGGCUCUGCCCCUAGAGUGGCAGGGCAGGUGGAGCCGGCCACGUAGGCAGGCUGUUUUCCCCAGAGACACCGCCCAAUCUCGCAGUCUGAGUGACUUGGGAAGGACAGUCCCCCAGGGAGCCACAGAGUCCACCACCCAGCACCUGAGUGACUCAUCUCUUUCCAGAAGCUUCUGGUAGCCUCUGCUCCUGACCCCAAGGAGGCCCACUGACAAGUACACUAGGGACGGCGGAGCAGACCCUCUGUGUGUGCAGCGCCAGAGACGGGUUUUUGCUGUAGGAUAUUCACAGCCCCAAAGUGUUCCCCACAAAUUAUCUUUUAUUCACAAAGCGGAAGACAGUGGCUUUUCAGGGGAGAAGGAUGAUCAGUGAUCAAACUGGCAUCCACAGGGGGCUGAGCCUGCACCCUGACAGGACACGAGGAGACACGUCGCUUCUGCGCUGUCCCUACCCAAGCAGGCCACCCACAUCUCAGCUGAGACAAGCCAAACUGAGGGACGCUGGACGGAGUAACUGGCCCAUAUUCUUCAAAAAUGUCAGCAGCACAGAUUCUUCCAAGGGAGGAGCAGAGGCACAGGGCCGCUGAGUCCUGGGAUCUGGCCCGACUGUAGAGGGGACGGACAGCUGGCUGGACCACGGGCAGCUGCUGGGCUCGAGUGUGAGCCAGAGCAGAUGUGACCUGGAAGUGGAAGGGCUGUAGCAGAGCCGUGGCCCCAUUCACUUCCUGUGUGACCUAAGAGCACCCAGGUCCCCGAGUUUCUCCAGCCCCUCAGUCAGUCCCCAGGCCCCGACUUCCUCUCAGGAACAGGAACGGUCUUUGUCAUCGGGGCACCCGAGGCUGCUGGCCAGGGAGCGGCCUGGCCUCCCGUGGGGCCUGCGUCUGUUCCUGGAGCUGACUGGCACUGCCCUGGGGACCAGCCGACCGACAGUCGCCUCCUGCCAACGGCUUCCUGGCUGGGGCCUGGGCGGGCAGCUCCGGCUUCUCCUCCCGCCUGUCUAAGUGGGGGCCUGGCCUCUGCUCCCACCCACUCUUAGCUGUCCUUGGCCCACCUGCCAUCUGGGGGUGAUUCACCACCCGCCAGUCACCUCAUUCAACAAGAGGCCUGAGGGAGGCCAGGCUGCAGGCUGGUCCUGGGAGGGACGGGGCCACUGGGCUUGGGCACAGCUGGGCUUGGGCACAUCCCCCACUGGGUCACAAUGGCACCCCGGGGACAGGACCCCAAAGCCACCAGCACGAAGCUGCACACGCCAGGAGCCCAGUGCAGGUCUGGGUCAGGAGCCACACUGUCCACCCCACAGCUCAGACGGCCCUCCUCAGGGGGCCACAGUGCCCACGGGCAGCGGUGUCCUCCCCUUCCGUCUUCAGGACAGACUCCAGGAAACCCUCUUCUCUCUUUAUUGAGGGGGGGGCUCUGCACCAGGCUGCUCCGCCAGGCGUUUCCCUUCCCAGGUGUCCAUCCGGUGUGAGCCACGGGCACGGUGGCCAACGUGGUGACCCCGUGUCCUUACCCACGGCCCCUUGCCCCCUCCUGCAGGGACUGCCCAUGGCUGCUCUGGGUGGCUCUGGGAUGGGGACCUGCAGAGUGUAAGGCCCCGCUCCUGCCCAAGGCCGGAAGCUGGCCCUGCAGAGCGGGCCCUGGGUCAGGUGCCCUGGUCAGCUCAAAAGGGCCCUCCUCUGAGCCCUUGAACCAUGAAUUUUUUACCCUAUUGUUUUAUUAAAUAAAUAAUGAAUGAAAUAAAGCUCGUGGACUAACAUAA